rnacentral:rRNA from 1 species
UGCAAGUCGAACGCUCCGCAAGGGGAGUGGCAGACGGGUGAGUAACGCGUGGGAACAUGCCCUUCGGUUCGGAAUAACCCAGGGAAACUUGGGCUAAUACCGGAUACGUCCGAGAGGAGAAAGAUUUAUCGCCGAAGGAUUGGCCCGCGUCCGAUUAGCUAGUUGGUGGGGUAAUGGCUCACCAAGGCGACGAUCGGUAGCUGGUCUGAGAGGAUGAUCAGCCACAUUGGGACUGAGACACGGCCCAAACUCCUACGGGAGGCAGCAGUGGGGAAUAUUGGACAAUGGGCGCAAGCCUGAUCCAGCCAUGCCGCGUGAGUGAUGAAGGCCCUAGGGUUGUAAAGCUCUUUCGGCGGGGACGAUAAUGACGGUACCCGCAGAAGAAGCCCCGGCUAACUUCGUGCCAGCAGCCGCGGUAAUACGAAGGGGGCUAGCGUUGUUCGGAAUCACUGGGCGUAAAGCGCACGUAGGCGGAUUGUUAAGUCAGGGGUGAAAUGCCAAGGCUCAACCUUGGAACUGCCUUUGAUACUGGCAAUCUCGAGUCCGGGAGAGGUGAGUGGAACUCCGAGUGUAGAGGUGAAAUUCGUAGAUAUUCGGAAGAACACCAGUGGCGAAGGCGGCUCACUGGCCCGGUACUGACGCUGAGGUGCGAAAGCGUGAGGAGCAAACAGGAUUAGAUACCCUGGUAGUCCACGCCGUAAACGAUGGAUGCUAGCCGUUAGGCAGCUUGCUGCUUAGUGCGCAGUUAACACAUUAAGCAUCCCGCCUGGGGAGUACGGUCGCAAGAUAAAACUCAAAGGUGACGGGGGCCCGCACAAGCGGGG